UACGAAGGGGGCUAGCGUUGCUCGGAAUGACUGGGCGUAAAGAGCGCGUAGGCGGCUCGUUAAGUGUGGUGUGAAAUCUCCAGGGCUCAACCCGGAACUGCACCGCAUACUGGCGAGCUUGAGGGAUGCAGAGGUGGAUGGAAUUCCUGGUGUAGCGGUGAAAUGCGUUGAUAUCAGGAGGAACACCCGUGGCGAAGGCGGUCCACUGGGCAUCAUCUGACGCUGAGACGCGAAAGCGUGGGGAGCGAACAGG
rnacentral:rRNA from 1 species